rnacentral:antisense_RNA from 1 species
GUGAAGCUGGACUGAAUAUUUCUGUCCAUAAGACUAUUAGAAUCCCCCAAAGUGGGAUACCAGUGAGGACUUCACCAGCAGCUGCUGUCUCUCCAAUGCAGCUCCACAGGGCCUGUGGACAGGGCUGGCUAUGAGCUCCCACCCCGAAGAGCAGUACUGGGAUGCCCUGCUGAGCACCUGCAUAGCCAUCUACAACCAUCAGAGCCAGCGCACCUGUGCAGCCUCCCACAGUGAUCUCAGGGCCUAUCCCUCUCCAUGGGGCCUCUCCACCUGGACGACUUGA